CGGCCAGACUCCUACGGGAGGCAGCAGUGGGGAAUAUUGCACAAUGGGGGAAACCCUGAUGCAGCGACGCCGCGUGAAGGAAGAAGUCUUUCGGUAUGUAAACUUCUAUCAGCAGGGAAGAAAAUGACGGUACCUGACUAAGAAGCCCCGGCUAACUACGUGCCAGCAGCCGCGGUAAUACGUAGGGGGCAAGCGUUAUCCGGAUUUACUGGGUGUAAAGGGAGCGUAGGCGGCGAUGCAAGUCAGAAGUGAAAGCCCGGGGCUCAACUCCGGGACUGCUUUUGAAACUGUGUUGCUAGAUUGCAGGAGAGGUAAGUGGAAUUCCUAGUGUAGCGGUGAAAUGCGUAGAUAUUAGGAGGAGCACCAGUGGCGAAGGCGGCUUGCUGGACAGUAACUGACGUUGAGGCUCGAAAGCGUGGGGAGCAAACAGGAUUAGAUACCCCGGUAU
rnacentral:rRNA from 1 species